rnacentral:rRNA from 1 species
GACGAACGCUGGCGGCGUGCUUAACACAUGCAAGUCGAACGGAAAGGCCCUGCUUUUGUUGGGUGCUCGAGUGGCGCACGGGUGAGUAACACGUGAGUAACCUGCCCUUGACUUUGGGAUAACUUCAGGAAACUGGGGCUCAUACCGGAUAGGAUCUCCUGCUGCAUGGUGGGGGUUGGAAAGUUUCGGCGGUUGUGGCUGGACUCGCGGCUUAUCAGCUUGUUGGUGGGGUAGUGGCUUACCAAGGCUUUGACGGGUAGCCGGCCUGAGAGGGUGACCGGGGACAUGGGGACUGAGAUAGGGCCCAGAAUCGAACGGGAGGCAGCAGGGGGGAAUAUUGCAGAAUGGGGGGAAGCGAGAGACAGAAACGCCGGGUGCGGGAUGACGGCCUUCGGGGUGUAAACCGCUGUCGACGGAGACGAAGCGUGAGUGACGGUAAUGGGUAAAGAAGCAACGGCUAACUACGUG